rnacentral:rRNA from 1 species
GGCAGAGGUGCCAAGCGUUAGGCGGAAUCACUGGGCUUAAAGCGUGUGUAGGCGGAUCGUUAAGUACCUUGUGAAAUCCCACGGCUCAACCGUGGAACUGCUGGGUAUACUGGCGGUCUUGAGCCACCUAGGGGCAACUGGAACAAGCGGUGGAGCGGUGAAAUGCGUAGAUAUCGCUUGGAACGCCAACGGUGAAAACAGGUUGCUGGGGGUGUGCUGACGCUGAGACACGAAAGCCAGGGGAGCGAACGGG